UACGUAGGGGGCAAGCGUUGUCCGGAUUUAUUGGGCGUAAAGAGCGUGUAGGCGGCCAGGUAGGUCCGUUGUGAAAACUCGAGGCUCAACCUCGAGACGUCGGCGGAAACCCUCUGGCUAGAGUCCGGAAGAGGAGAGUGGAAUUCCUGGUGUAGCGGUGAAAUGCGCAGAUAUCAGGAAGAACACCCGUGGCGAAGGCGGCUCUCUGGAACGCAACUGACGCUGAGACGCGAAAGCGUGGGGAGCAAACAGG
rnacentral:rRNA from 1 species